AAUUCACCCAGGACAAAAGUAUCAGGCAGUACUUAAAGAGUUCUCAAGAAGUCAUGAAAAAGGUAACGCAACAUCACAUUAAGAUCUUGUCAUAACAGACCUCCAUUAUUAAAGUAGCAGAAAACUUUGGAGGAGACCUCUUACAAGAGAAAGCAAUGAUCUGACACCUGCAACAAAACUAGCAAGACAGACCAGAGAACAAUACA